rnacentral:lncRNA from 1 species
UCAGAUCUUAAAAGGGUGCGAUAGAAAGUUCGUUGUGAAUUUACAGGAAGACAAUGACGAUUCCAACAAAUUUGUUGUGUUGUUUGACCGAUAAAUGAUGUCAAAGAGCCGUUGAUCAAACCCCACUUAUGAUCUCAGCAAACACAUUCUGUCUUUCACAAUUAUGAUGCCAGUGAGAUUAUAACUCGUACCCUAUCUCCAAUAUGUGAUGUUGGGGUAUGCCACCAUAAAAGUCCUCCAAGUAUAGCAACACUUAUGACUUGGAAGAUUCGAAGCCUAUUGAACGAUUCGAAUCUUCUUUCUCUUACGCCUCUGAGAACUAGCACCUUAAACUGAUGCCACCAGCUGGUGCACCAUUGUUCCGGUUUCACUUGGUCCCCUACACGUUUAGAAUAAGUUAGCGGUUAUGCAAAUUGUGCCAUCGAUUAACCGUAAACAAAUAUUUCUCUUGCACAACUUACUUGUUGAAGCUUCUUUUGCAUGGUCAUUGUUGGUAAUGUCUAGACUGCAUAGUUCAGCUUUCAGUCUUGUUGAAAUGUUUGUAUCAUAUGAAGUGAUGAGUUUCUGUCUUACUAACUUCCGCUCGUGUUCUGUGUUUUCACCUUGCUCGUAUUCUUGCAUGGCAUCAGGCGCAAUUCCUGUCAUGUAAUUUUUAUAAAUCCUUAGAAGUAGUUUGGAUUUAUGAAGGUAAGAUGCUUUAUAUAUACUGAUAUACAUAAAUAUACAUACACACACACACACUUUGUUAAUAAUGGAGUAGUGUAGAUGUGGGGUCUUUCUUUAUUUCAUUUUCAAAAGUACAAUUAUAAUUUAUAAACGCACUUUCUUUACACAAAAUUGAAUCAGAUGUAACGUACCAUUAGCAAGGUCUAGUAAAAUAUCAGCUGGAUUCACUGUGAUGGAUGUUGAAAAUCCGACGGAUGAGAAAUACUCUAUAGCAGUGGACGCAGGACCAUAGUAAAUCGGUGAGCCCUCAGACAGUAAGACAACUUUAUCAAACAUGUGGUAAAGUCUGCUAGAUGGCUGAUGAAUUGUUGUGACCACGGUUCGGCCUCCACUAGCAAGUCGUUUAAUAGUGGUUAGAAUCCUCUGAGCCGUGGUCGAGUCUAGACCAGAGGUCGGCUCAUCCAGUAACAACAAGCUCGGGUUGAUUAGCAUCUCUUGGCCAAUGCUGACCCUCUUUUUCUCUCCACCUGAAAUACCUCUAAACAGUGGACCGCCUAUCAUACUAUUCUUACACCGAGUUAAUCCCAACUCAGCUAUAACUCGCUCCACAUGCUCGACUUUCUCAUUCUGACUCAAGCUUUCUGGUAACCGUAACAUAGCUGUGAAUAAUAGGGUCUCCGUGACAGUAAGAUGAGGAUACAGAACAUCAUCUUGGGUCACAAAUCCCGUUUUUCUUUUUGUAGAACCAGUAAACGGGUGGCCGUUGUAUGUAAUCUUUCCGGACAGGUUACCAGUAAGCCGUCCACCAAGAGCCGUGAGGAGGGUGGUCUUACCACUGCCAGAUGGACCUAGCAUUGCUAGUAUCUCCCCAGGGCAAACCUUACCCGUCACCCCAUUCAGUAUCGUCUUCUCACAUGUUUCUUUACUCUUAGUUUUAACUUUAUAAACAACAUCUUCAAACUGCAACAAAUCAGAAAAGAAUUAGAAAUUAUUUAACACAAAUAGUGUGUGAGAGAAAGAAGGGGGGGGGGGGGGGGGUUGGAGAGCGAGAGUGACCUUUAAAGUUAUGGGAUAUAAGACGUGGUUUAGAAAGGAUGAUGGUGAAUGCGCAUGAUGCGGUUUCACCAUUUCAAUGGGACUUGAAGUAGUAAUAGUAGUUGUAGCAGUGGUGGUGUUUUCAUAAGUUGGAACGACGGGUUUGGAGGGUGCGGCCAUUGAUGUCUAAAUGCUUUGUUUUUCUAGUGAAGAUAAUUGGAGGAAGAAGCUAUUAUUAAGAUGUUGGUUUAGUUUUGAUUUUGGUUUUGGUUUUGGUUUUUAUAGUUUGUUAACUGCAUAAACACAAGUAUAUAUACAAGUAAUGGUCAAGAAAAGGUGAGGAUAUCAAAGAAUCUGAUGUAGGCCUUAGACUAAUAUGGUGGGUCCCCCAUCUUUUUUCUUCAAAGUAUUCUAACACUCACUUUUUAGUCCAUUAUUUAUUUUAAUCUAUUUGGAGUUUCUGUUCUCUCUCUUUCUCAUCAUUUGAUGCUUGCUUUGAGAUCCUUUCUUUAUAGUGACCAUAUAAGGCUGCAUGGAUGAUCAUGCAACUCAUCUCCAGCAGCAACAAGUGGAGAAUGAGACUCAUGCCACUUAGUUUUAUUCAAUUCCUUUCGGUUCAAAUGUCAUUUUGUGCUAAUUUAUUAUUAUCAUGAAAAAUCCCGGUAACAAGUUGCAAAAAAAAACAUGACCAUAUUAACUAGAAUAUACAGAUCAAACUGGAUUAUUGUAAACAAACUCAAGAUAAUUCCUAUAAUUCGAGAGGUACGGACCUUUCAAAGUAAAGACUUAAAUUUCUUCGUAAGGUAGCUCGAAUAUCAAUCCUAUUUAUGGUUAAGGCUCCGUAGGUUUACUCUUAUAACUUUGCUUAUAAGGCACCAAGUAAUUAAACUUGCUUAACAAGACAUAACAUUAAUGUGUCCUAGGUUGGAGUUUAAGCAUGAAUCAGUGAAAAUCUGAAUACGAAUAAAAAGGAGGUCCCGAAAAAUAUUCCCCUUUGAAGUGAAAGCGAUUUUUUAUCAUAUUAAUUGAUACGAUAAAGAAAUGAUAUUAAUAUGAACGAUAAAAUAAAUUAUUACAAUUAUCAAGUCAAAUGAGUAUUUAGGGCCAUCCACUGGGGAAGAGCAUUGAUGCUGUCCUUAUAAUAGCAAUGGCUUAAAGUAAACAAAGAACAAUAAAGAAGGAAAGUAGAAAGCGGAAGGGCGGGCUUAAUAAUCGCGUAAAGUUGAUGUAGAACGAAGCUUUGAAAUGAAUAGCAACUUUAUUCCAACUGAUUUUAUGCAUAUGUUCGUGUUGUCCUUCUGGUUUACAGUAUUCCUAUCUGAUAUGCUUUUCAUAUUUCGCUUGCUUGAUUUCUGUUUAAAGGAAAUCUUGUACAUCAAAAUCAUCAAUCGCAUAAACUCGGAUUUGGUCGAAAAUGAAAAGUUACGAUGAACAUGGGAUAUUUUAAGAUGUAACUAUAGCAACUUUAAUCCGGGAUUAUUUAUAUUCUUUUCCUGUGGGUGGGUUUUAGUUUUCGGUUGGUUAGCAUUAGAUUCUAAGCCGACACUUUGUUCUUGUAAGAUGGUGCUCAAAGAGAAUCCACUUUUAGCUAUGCUUAUCACAUGGUUGAAGAACUUUGAAAUAGGUACAGAAGGGACCAAGGGAAGCUAGUGAGUUUUUAUAGUUGUCUAUACCAUAUGCUAUAAGUAAAAUAUGUGUGAGUUGUGUGUGCAUAUCGUCUAGCAUAGGCGUAUAUGAUUCAAUAUAGCGAUUCCUUAGCUAACCUUUGUUUAAGAGUAGGCAUGUCUUCGUGCAUGUGACGCAGCCUCCUUAAAAUCAUGUGCUUGUAUAAAAUGAUCUACAUACAUUUAAUCUAAAAAAGUGUUAUCUUAUUCUUCACUAGCCUGUAGUUUCUAAAACCAUUGGGUUAUGAGAUUGAUAUUCGGCUAAAAAACAUUCAUGAUGCUAGAAUUUUAUGCAUGUGCCGAUUUUAUGUUAAGCUUAUGUAUAAACAUGCACAACGAAAAUAUGUAACAGCCAUCCAUAGUAGUGUUUUAAGUGUCUAAUUUGUUUUCCAUUCAACCCAAUUCAAGUCGUCUGAACUCCUUUUCGUAUGAUUAUUCUGUAUUCAGUUUGUUGUGAAUCGUAGAUGAGAAAUAAUGCAAGAAAUUCUAACAAGUUAGAUAAACCAUUUAGUGAUGAAAAGAGCUAUAUGGAACGAUGCCGUAUGGUGCUUUUGCUGUUUUUUAUAAUCUGGUGUCAUUAUUAGCCUAUUUCAUUAAAGGCUUGGUGGUUGUGUUCUUCGUAUCUCCUGAAGAUUGCUUCCAAAGUAAAGAAUACUUUUAUUAUUAGUGUCAUCAUAUUCCCAAUAGAAUGCUAGAGGCUAAGUUUUAUAUCAUACGAGACUACAUAAUUCAUGUAUUUCUAUCAUGUAAUUAAUUAUAUGGUAACUUUUUCUAGUUGCGAAAUUGCUGAAAUAUAAAACGUGGACCGCGGAAUGGACCAAAAUUGUCUAAGUAACUCAAGUAAAUCAGAAUCAAGGGUGCACCACAUGCAUAUUGACCCACCACAUGAGUUCAGGCAGUUUGAUGACCGCCAAAUCAAAACCUAUAUUCAAUGUUACUGUGGUUAAAUAUGAUCCACUCUUAUUGCCAUGGUUUCUAUAUUUUGUGCAUCCCAUAUAUGGUUAAGCAUAGAUGUAAAUUUGUCUAAUCAUCAUCCGAAAAUGCAUACGUAAAGAUCAUGAUUACAUGAUCUUUACUUGAUUUUCGGCCACCACCAUCAUUCCAUCAUCAUUUUUCAUGAUUUCCUCAUGAACACCAUGGAUAUUUGUAUUGAGGCUAUAGACCCCAUUGAAAUAGUAAGAGUAUCUUUUCUGUUGAUUUGUGUUCGCAAAUAGUGAUGGGCAAAAGGACCGGACCCUAGAGGUUUGGUGUAGGUCUUCUGUAAUGAUUCUUAAAUAGAUUUUAUAGUAACAAGUCCAACAUGUUUUAGUGUUUCUUUUACUUUUUUUGUGAUUUUGUUGUUUUGUGGGAGGUGAGAAGUUGAUAGUUAAAUAAUUAAAUUAGAAACUGUUUAAAGAAAUUUGGGUUGUGGUGGCCAAAAACAUAAUUGUUACCAUUUGUUACCCUGAAGACCGGUUAUUUGUUCUUAAAGCAAUUUCGUCCACUCCGUCUGUCUUUCUGAAUAGCAUGCUUUGGAUGAUUGGUGAAUUCCCUUCCAAGAUACAACGAAACAAC